CCUUUAGGGAUUUGUGAGCUCCUGUAUCUUGGACAUUUGGAGAGAAAGGUGUGUGUGCACGUGUGUGCAUGUGCGUGUGUGUGCUCGUGUGUAUGUGCAUAUGUGUGUCUGUGCAUGCACACAUGUGUGUGCAUGUGUAUGUUCAUGUGUGUGCGUGUGUGUGUGCGUGUGUAUGUGUAUAUGUAUGUGUAUGUGUGUGUGUGUUGGGAGGAGGGGAGGGCGAUGGGCUGAGACUCAAUCUAAGACAGGUAUGAUUCUCUCAAACAUUCUUGAACCUUUUGACAUAAAGAUAAAGUUUUAUUUUCUCCUCUCUCUUGAUGUGGAUUAGGUUUAGAGUAGACGGUGUUGCUCUUGAGUGUGUUGGUUUUGGAAGUGUUCUAACUUGAGUCAAAGGGACAAACAUCAUUGCUUUCUUUCUGUUUGGAAACAUAAUUCUCAUUCCUCAGAAAGUGAAACCUACACCCUCAUGACGGCUGCCUCACACACUAGAGAGAAGCGUACAUCGAGGGCUCUGCGAGUCCAGGCGGGUGGUCCAGGCCCGGCACGGCGGCGCAGUGACCUCUCAGGGAUCCAGGCUCACUCCGUCUUUCCACUUUGCAUCCUCCUGCACAGAGGUGUUUGUCCUUGUUGCCUCAUGAUUACAAGAGACCUUCUGCACCUCCCUGGCUCACGUCCACACUGCCAGCAGCAACGAGGAAGAAGAGGGUCAAGCUGUGGCAGUCUCUGUUUAAUACCAUAACAAAGAGUCAUCCUGAAAGUUCCACCCAGCAUGGAUGGAGGAAACGGAGAGAAGUGGAUGCAUUCAAGAAAUGUUUAGAAGGGAACAUUAAUAAGACUUGGAAAUGGAUUAGGUAUGAGGAUGAGAGAGGGGGAGGCGACAAGGAUGGCGCUGAGGUUUCUGGUCUGGGUACCAGGGAGCUGUCAGCACCGUUCACUCAGAGAAUGGCGGAAGAGCCUUGGGUUACGGGGGAAGAUCAUGAGUUUGGUUUGGAUGUGCUGAGCAUGAGAUGCCUUUAAAACAUCCUGAAAGAGACGUCACGUGGACAGUUGGGUGCAUUUGCUCUGCUCCUUCCCCCUUAAAGCAGGUUCUUUUGUCAGAAGCAGUGCAGUGUGGCAAAACCAUGGUGAGAUGAGAGGCAGGACAUGCAGGGUGGGACAUGGUGCCAUCCCUUCUGUUGCUCUGCAGGCUGUGGGCCGAAGUCCAGUAAACUCCAGGGCCAUGCAGGGACUCUGCAGUCUUCGCCUCUGCGUCAGUUGGGGGUUAGGUUCUGCUAUGAGGAGCAGAGACCCACCUCCAAUGGCUUAAACAAAUUGGAAACUGAAACUGCUCUCUGGAAAUUUUGGCUCCUUGUGCCACAGUGUGAACACGCCAAAAGGGGGUAACUGAUAGCCUGGGGCAAUUGAUUCUGACUUUCAAGGUAAAUAUAAUUGCUCUUUCCAAUGCAG
rnacentral:lncRNA from 1 species